ACAGGACCAGACUAGUUAUCCUAAACCUGGACUGUUAAACUAAUGCCCAGGACUGUCAGGAUAAUCCAUCAGGCCUGUCAGGAUAAUCCACCAGGCCUCUCAGGAUAAUCCACCGAGACUGUCAGGAAAAUCCACCGAGACUGUCAGGAUAAUCCACCGAGACUGUCAGGAUAAUCCACCAGGCCUGUCUGGAUAAUCCACGAGACUGUCAAGAUAAUCUACCAGGCCUCUCAGGAUAAUCCACCGAGACUGUCAGGAUAAUCCACCAGGCCUGUCUGGAUAAUCCACGAGACUGUCAAGAUAAUCUACCAGGCCUCUCAGGAUUAUCCACAGAGACUGUCAGGAUAAUCCACCAGGCCUCACAGGAUAAUCCACCAGGCCUCUCAGGAUAAUCCACAGAGACUGUCAGGAUAAUCCACCAGGCCUCACAGGAUAAUCCACCAGGCCUCUCAGGAUAAUCCACAGAGACUGUCAGGAUAAUCCACCAGGCCUGUCUGGAUAAUCCACGAGACUGUCAGGAUAAUCUACCAGGACUGUCAGGAUAAUCCACCGAGACUGUCAGGAUAAUCCACCAGGCCUCUCAGGAUAAUCCACGAGACUGUCAGGAUAAUCCACCAGGCCACUCAGGAUAAUCCACAGAGACUGUCAGGAUAAUCCACCAGGCCUGUCUGGAUAAUCCACGGGACUGUCAGGAUAAUCUACCAGGACUGUCAGGAUAAUCCACCAGGACAGUGUGUGGGGUGUGUAUAAGGUUUAGUGUGUUCAGUCAGACCCACACAGUGGUAGCAGUAGGUUCUUAUAUUGAACCGAGUUAAUUUGACCAUAGGAAAAUGAGAUACUGUGUGAAUAUGUCAGGGCAGGUUUGACUGAAUUUAGCUAUACAUUGUUUUAUUAUGAGUUGUGUAAUUAUCAGGGAUAUAAUUCUAAAAAGACAAUCUCAGAGACACCUAAUGAGGUCAAUAAAUAAUCAGGUUUUCUGACCGAACUCAACCACGAUGUUAUAGGCACUAGUUUUAUCUCGACAGUCUCUCCAUUCAGUCUGAUCUGGUUGAAGACUGGUGUUUGUAGACGUUAGAACACCACCUGGUGGGCGUAGUAGCAAACUGCACUAUUUUAAAAGGAUAAUUCAUGGUGAUUAGUUUCUGUGGCUCAUUGGUGUUUUUGUAUCAAUGUUAUGAUCGAUUACAAAAGUCAUGGCGUAAGUGGUUUUCAUUUGUGAUGAAUUUAGUAACUGAAGCUGUUUGGUUGUUAAGUGGAGUAGCGGGGAAUUAAAUCUUUAGACAUUUGGGUCCAACUAUGAAUACUUCCAUAUCAUAUCCAUUGACCAAUCAGUGAGGAUGUAUAACCAAUAACAUCCAUUUAGAUAAUGUACAUGUGUGUGCAUGACUCAUUUACUGGAUUCUAAAUAUUCACCAUUAUUAUUGGUUUACUCCUCAUUUAGAAAUAGUCAAUAACUGACAUGAUGCAACCGGUUUUGUAUGUUGACCAACAACAAGCAAUAUUGCUCUUGAAUCAGGGUUUAUAACUGCCCUAAGGAGCUCUGUAGGCACGUUAUUAGCGGUUGUAGCGUUGUGUAUCAGUGAGGUGGGUCUUUGUGGAGAAUCACUGUACUGUAUUUUGAUAAAGUUUGUACUCUACUGCUGGGUGGCUUCCACCCCCUUGUGGCGAGAGCGGAUCCUGUG
ensembl:lncRNA